rnacentral:rRNA from 1 species
GGGGAAUAUUGCGCAAUGGGGGAAACCCUGACGCAGCAACGCCGCGUGCGGGAUGAAGGCUUUCGGGUUGUAAACCUCUUUUAUUCCUGAACAAGGCUUGGAUUGUUGUCUGGGUUGAGGGUAGGGGGUGAAUAAGCGCCGGCUAACUACGUGCCAGCAGCCGCGGUAAUACGUAGGGCGCGAGCGUUGUCCGGAUUUAUUGGGCGUAAAGAGCUCGUAGGCGGUUUGUUGCGUCUGCUGUGAAAACGCGGGGCUUAACUUCGCGCGUGCAGUGGGUACGGGCAGGCUAGAGUGCGGUAGGGGAGAUUGGAAUUCCUGGUGUAGCGGUGGAAUGCGCAGAUAUCAGGAGGAACACCGAUGGCGAAGGCAGGUCUCUGGGCCGUUACUGACGCUGAGGAGCGAAAGCGUGGGGAGCGAACA